rnacentral:rRNA from 1 species
UGGGGAAUAUUGCACAAUGGGCGCAAGCCUGAUGCAGCCAUGCCGCGUGUGUGAAGAAGGCCUUCGGGUUGUAAAGCACUUUGUCCGGAAAGAAAUCCUUGGCUCUAAUACAGUCGGGGAUGACGGUACCGGAAGAAUAAGCACCGGCUAACUACGUGCCAGCAGCCGCGGUAAUACGUAGGGUGCAAGCGUUAAUCGGAAUUACUGGGCGUAAAGCGUGCGCAGGCGGUUUGCUAAGACCGAUGUGAAAUCCCCGGGCUCAACCUGGGAACUGCAUUGGUGACUGGCAGGCUAGAGUAUGGCAGAGGGGGGUAGAAUUCCACGUGUAGCAGGUGAAAUGCGUAGAGAUGUGGAGGAAUACCGAUGGCGAAGGCAGCCCCCUGGGCCAAGUACUGACGCUCAUGCACGAAAGCGUGGGGAGCAAACAGGAUUAGAUACCCCUGGUAGUCCACGCCCUAAACGAUGUCAACUAGUUGUUGGGGAUUCAUUUCCUUAGUAACGUAGCUAACGCGUGAAGUUGACCGCCUGGGGGAGUACGGUCGCAAGAUUAAAA